rnacentral:rRNA from 1 species
GACAGAGGGUGCAAACGUUGUUCGGAAUUACUGGGCGUAAAGCGCGCGCAGGCGGCCUCGCGCGCCCGACGUGAAAGCCCCCGGCUUAACCGGGGAGGGUCGUUGGGGACGGCGGGGCUUGAGGGCGGGAGAGGGUGGUGGAAUUCCCGGUGUAGUGGUGAAAUGCGUAGAGAUCGGGAGGAACACCCGUGGCGAAGGCGGCCACCUGGGCCGACCCUGACGCUGAGGCGCGAAGGCGUGGGGAGCGAACGGG